GACGAACGCUGGCGGCGUGCUUAACACAUGCAAGUCGAACGGAAAGGCCCUGCUUGCAGGGUACUCGAGUGGCGAACGGGUGAGUAACACGUGGGUGAUCUGCCCUGCACUUCGGGAUAAGCUUGGGAAACUGGGUCUAAUACCGGAUAGGAGCCAUCUUUAGUGUGGUGGUUGGAAAGUUUUUUCGGUGUAGGAUGAGCUCGCGGCCUAUCAGCUUGUUGGUGGGGUAAUGGCCUACCAAGGCGGCGACGGGUAGCCGGCCUGAGAGGGUGUACGGCCACAUUGGGACUGAGAUACGGCCCAGACUCCUACGGGAGGCAGCAGUGGGGAAUAUAGCACAAUGGGCGCAAGCCUGAUGCAGCGACGCCGCGUGGGGGAUGAAGGCCUUCGGGUUGUAAACUCCUUUCGCUAGGGACGAAGCUUUUUUGUGACGGUACCUAGAUAAGAAGCACCGGCUAACUACGUG
rnacentral:rRNA from 1 species